GCCAGCAGCCAUAUCACCCUGUAACUCACAACUGGCAACCCACUGAAGCUCAAGCAGGUGUGAGCCUGGUCAGUACCUGGAUGGGAGAUCUCCUGGGAAAAACUAGUUGCUGCUGGAA
rnacentral:rRNA from 1 species